GGGAAGUGUCGCUGGGUUCCGGAAGUUCCCGUGAAGAGGCGCGUGUGAGGGGAGUUAGGUUUAUUUCUCCCACCGAGCUGGGGAAAGUCUGUUAGCCCGGCGGACUGCAAUCUCGAGGUCUAAGAGUAUAUGAAAUGGGAACAGAACUGUGAUUUGGAAAUUAUCUCAAACUUGGAUGUUGGGAGAAUCACUUCAGAAGUCCCGCCCACUUCUGAACAUUUGGGGGAUCAUCCAGCAUGGACAGGGAGUCAACUGUAGAAGGAAGGGAGAGUUUCUUACAGCUCCCUUCCUGCAGCUCUGCCAGCUGGGAACAUGGAAGGGAAGGAGGAGGAGCUUGAAAGAGGUUACUGGGACAUGGCGGCUAUGGCUGAGGUAAGUUGAGGGUUCCUUUCUUAAUUGAUUACCCUCAGAAGAAAUCCGGCCUUCCUUUGUACCCU
rnacentral:lncRNA from 1 species